GUAGACGGCGUGAAAACGGAAACAACAAGUAUGCCGGCUCACUGUGCUGCAUACAAUUACACACUACGUCGUACGAUUGAGACAAGGAAACUUGGAAUGACUUUUCAUAGGUUUCCCAGAGACUAUGGGUUGAGGAGGAAUUGGAAGUUUGUCGGCUUAGACCUGGUGUCAUUCCAUCAGUGUUAAACUUCCCGGCUCAUCUUGGAAGAGUACGUGCCAGAAAGACCACGACCAAGCAGCCUUGAGAUCUUAGGCAGCGUCUCCCUGAGACCAAAGAACUACAGACUCUUCACAACCUGCUCAAACUCUUGGUACAGGACCUCACCACACGGGUCAAGAAGGUUUCUGUCUCAUUUCUACUCUGAAGCUCACCUUCUCCUGCUCAAACUGCUGACAAAUGUUUCUGCUGCUCUAAAGUCUGGUCUCCAGAACUUCCUAAAAACUCUCAAAGUCUCUUCUGCUGCAGGUUGCUUUGUAGAACUGUUGCAGAAAACCUCACUAAACCACAUGGAGGGACUUCAAGAUAGUCGUCCAAAUGAAACCAUACAAAAACCAAACUAGCACAACCCAAACGCUAAAGUCUCCUGCAGCCUACCAGAGAACCUCUGAGAACAGAGAAUCAGGACAGAAACUCUUACCUUCUGGACAACCAACGUUGGUUCUCAAACAAGAAUACAGAAUGUGUCUGACCAAAAACCUCUGAAGACUCACUACAGCCAAGAUAAAGACACAACUCAGCUGCUCCAAAUCCACUAAUCACUGCACACAUUAGCACCAUGUGCUAACUGUGGCUAAAGAACCACCUUUACCAAGACAACUAUCCAGUACAAAGCCCUAAAACGCACCAAGAAACACAUUAAAGACGAUUUUAAUGCUGGAAGCUGCAAACCAAUGCCUAAAGAACAAAGUAAAGCAAUGGAGCCAAACCCAGUUCAGUGGUGAAGAGAAGCAGAGGAAAUGUUUGUCUGCAGCUAAAUAAAGCAGGAAGACACUGAGCUGCUCAGGUGUUCCUGAUAAUACCAAGCUGCUCAGGUGUUCCUGAUAACACCAAGCAGCCACCUGGACAGCCAAUAGGAACACAGCUUACUGGAAGUCCAGAGGGCUGGCUUAGUGAAGGAAAUUUAGUUUAAAGUUGAAGCAGAAAGUUAACAAAGAAAGUUGAAAACCACCUUCUGAUCCCUGAAAUCUCUGAGUUUUCACACAAAGAACACCUGAACAUGUCAAACUGGUUCCAUAGUAGAACCAUCAUUGUAAAAACGUCAUAGUAUGGUGUGUUGCUCAAAAAACAUUAGGACCCGGCUGUCAGGGGACAAACAUGUAAGAAACAUGAGAACAGAGAGAACCCAACCAGUAGGUCACAGUUUAUCAUCCCCCAGUCAUCUCCUGAAGUCCAUAUGGUGAGAGACAUCAGUAUCUGGUUGUUAAUUUACCAGAGGAUGCUUAUAAUCAUGCUGAUGUGGUCUGUACUCUACAGUAUUUUAGUGACUCAAUAAAUGCCUAAGUUGUUUUCU